UGGGGAAUAUUGCACAAUGGAGGGAACUCUGAUGCAGCGACGCCGCGUGAGUGAUGAAGGAAUUCGUUUCGUAAAACUCUGUUCUAUGGGAAGAAAAGGACUGUACCAUAGGAGAAAGCUCCGGCUAAAUACGUGCCAGCGGCCGCGGUAAUACGUAUGGAGCGAGCGUUGUCCGGAAUUAUUGGGCGUAAAGGGUGCGCAGGCGGCUUUACAAGUUGGAUGUGAAAUAUUGUGGCUCAACCACAAACGUGCAUCCAAAACUGCAAAGCUUGAGUUAAGGAGAGGUAAGUGGAAUUCCUGGUGUAGCGGUGGAAUGCGUAGAUAUCAGGAGGAAUACCGGUGGCGAAGGCGACUUACUGGACUUAAACUGACGCUCAGGCACGAAAGCGUGGGGAGCAAACAGG
rnacentral:rRNA from 1 species